CCGUGAACAAAUAGCAAGCUAGCUGGGAGACAGAAAUAGAAGGGGAAGAUAUAUUUCAUUGGUGCCCUCAACGGAAGUGUGUACGCCCGGUGUUUCAGUUGGUCUGAAUCAUCUCCAGAAAUUCGAACAACCAUAGAUUGGACCACCGCCUUUGAUUUCAAACAACCCGCAUUCAAUCUCAAUCGAGAAAGCAUAUCAAAGGGCGAUGGAUCGAGGUUGGAUGAGUCAACCAAGAGCUAGUGCUGCUUACAAAGAUGGUGUCGAGCAAUUUCUGACUUUUGCAUUCCGUGAUGUUCCGGC